UGGAGCCAGCUGAUAAAGAAAAUACAAGGUGCAAGGAACAAGGAAGAAGGAUGAAGGGUGAAGGCGGAAGAACAAAAGUUCUUGGCAGGGCAGCGAGGGAGGCUGGGAUGGAAAGAUGUCCCUACAGAGCAGAGUUCUGAAACUGUGCAAACUUAAAGCGAUAGAAAUGUUGACAGUUUUUGGAUUUUCAUCAGGGAUAAAGACAAAACAGAAGACAAAUGCUAGUGCUAAAUAUUUAAUAAGUGCAACAAGUGCUUUGGAUAUUCAAUUUAAUUACGGAAUAGCCCCCAUGUCUGUGAUUGCUAGACCAAUGCCACCCCAGAUAUAACGCCCAUAGCGUAAUUACCCUGUCAAUCUCCAUCUGCAUUUGCACAGCUCCAUAUCCAUCGAUUGCCACUUAAUGCCGUGUCUUUGUUCAAUACACAAUCCAAUCCCAAUGACUGCAAUCAAAUUGCAAAUGAAUUGUUUAUAAUGUGACAAAAGUGGCCCAAUAUGCCUGUCAGGUGGAUGUCAAAUGCACACCUGGAAUUCGCUUGAAUUAAUUUUCAUACUCAACGCCUCUGCUGCUGCUUCAGCUUCUGAUUCUGCCAGCGGCCUCAGUCACUGCCACAGACAGCGCAGCGACAGCGGCAAUCGCAUAGAACCACAACAUGAAACGCAGCUACGGCCGCCACUCUACACUUAUACCGCUACAUUUACUUUGCAUAGUACAACAGCAAACAUGACGUCAUAGCGCUCUCAGUAGUGCUGUAGAGCUAGCGGACCACCUUGCACAUCAUAAGCAAAAGUAGCUGAGCGUGGGAGAGAGAGCAAAUGGGAAGAGGAGAUCGAAGAACGAAUGCAUUAGCGCCGCUCUCACUCCAGUUUUUUCACCCGGCCCAAGCGCCCGUCGGCAAGUCAGCUCCGCGCUUCUAUUCCUGAAAAUGCGGAAAAUGGUGGAAAAUCCAAUGGGAAAAAUCGGGCGCAGAAAAGACGCGAAGUUAUGUCCCUUUCGCACUCAUCAAGAAAUAUCGCAGUGAAGAAGAGCAUCAAAACGGAAUGUGAGAGCGUUCAAAGUGACGCUCAUUUUGGCGUGAGAGGCAUUCCAAAUACUGGAGAUCUGACGCUCUCCCGCUUCGAGCAUCAGCUUCCACCCUCUAAUGCAAUAGAAUGAAGAGAGUGAAGCAAGUUCUUUCAAUUUCAUCUUUCUUUCGUUAAGGAAAAGAUACCCUAUAAAGUACCCCCUAAAAAACGAAAAGCUGCUAAACAGGGACAUCCAACUUUAAAGUGUAAUCCCUCGGAGCUGUCUGCGAAGCGCCAAAAGUCCUAGGACCCACACAUUUGCAAUGCAUCUCCAAAGGCCACGAAGGGAGGGGUGCUGGGCUGCUUCUAUGUGGCAGAGGGAUAAUCGUAUCGUUCGAUGGUCGUCGUAUAAUAAAUAUCGUAUAGGAGAGGUGUUUGUCGGUGCUCAACCGAUCAGAGAACGAAAAUGGAGUGGAUUCCGAGGAUGAUGAGGAAGGAAGACACCCCUGAGAAUGAAUCUAAUGACAGCGAGAGCGCCAUAUUUCCGAGAGAAAUAUGUACAGAUAGUCCGCCCUUUCUACAUGAAUUCAAAAGAAAUGUCAUCCUUUCAUCAUGGACUAUAUUCGUAGUUCUUCAAGCAUAUUUCUUAAGUAAACCAAGAUCUACCACAAAUGACAGUUUCCAUGGAUUUUCUCAGGUCUUUGGAAUCACUUAAGAUUCUCCAUUAUUCUGGAAUAUUUCUACCGGAUCACCACUAUAUCAUCACCGAAAGGAAGGAUUCCUUGAUACGUUGUCUAGAGAAAUUCAGUGGAUAUGAAAGGCAAUGUGCACAAUUAUUCUCACCUCUGGCUCUCCGAGAAGGAGACGUCCCAUUAAGAAGUCUGCGAAUGAAUAUUCCUUGCCAGAGAACAGCAGCAUCCUUUCGUUUGAAUAAACCAAUUACGAUCUGUGCUCGUUCUCACUGGCAAUCACCUCCUUGCCGCUGUCCUGUCCUGUCCCAUUGCUGAUUGGCAUUCCAUUAUCUGCAUCUUCACGAGAAGCUUCUUCAUUAUUCCAUCAUCAUCAUCAUCAUCGAAAGGAGCUGCAGGAGCUGCACGAGGAGCUACUGCUUCAGUGGCAGUAACAGCUGCCACUGCAGGAUCCUUCAUUAUGUUGAUUCGUGAGGAAGGACGAGAGCGACUAAGAGGACGAGAGCGAGUGCGAGUGCGAGUGCUGCGUAUUUGGUUAAAUUGUUGAAGGUCGCCCGAAGGCAGCAGCACUUUUGUGGGUCUGCCUGCCCGUGGGUCUGCCUGCCAAGUCUCAUGUGCAUAAUUCAAGUUGUUGCACAUGCCACACACACACAUACACACACACACACACAUGUGAGACACUCGAGCGGCACGACGAGCCCUGUCGACUGUCGACUGCUAAGUGUCCUUUGGCAGGCGCAAGAUGAAAGCAAAAGGCGGCUGAAAUUAAAUUAAAAUGAAAUGCAUGCAAAGUGCCACAGCGGCAGCGACAACGACAUGGUCCCGCGUCCCGAGUCCCGUAUCCCGACUCCCAGCUCCCAGCUCCCGAGUCCUCUUUUAGUCCUCGUCAUCGGUGUGUCCUGAGUGUGUACUUUAAGCUUGCAAUUAAAUUGCAGGACGAGCCGCACCGCUGCCACUGCCGCCGCACGGGAAUUGCGCAGGCUCUCCGAUAGCGAGGAGUUGGAGAUCCCUGCCGCCCAGAGGGUGGGGCAGAGGGCAUGUCCAAUGCAUAUGCAUUGCAAUUAAGCAAUCAAUGGCAUAAUUAUCGACACAUGAGAGUCACCCGAUUUAUUAACACGCCUGCCCCGAGGCGCUGCUGCAACAGCAACAGCAACAGAACAGCAAUCGACAAUCGAUUGGCAACUUGUUCAAUUUAAAUGCUCAAACAAACAAAGGAGACCAGACACAGACACCGGAGAGGCGGGGGGCUGGCAGUGUGGGGAGAGUGGUUUUCGGGCAUACAGCCGGAGCCGGAGUGGGGGGUUAACCAAGAAGCCAUUUGCAGACCAGAUCCAGAUCCUGUGCCAAUCAGCAGCCGCAAGCCACACAAAAACUGUCGCGACACCGAAAUGGCGGCCAAAGAAGUGUUUCGUUUUACAGACUGUAAGCGCAUUUUAUGGAACUUUUGUCCUAAUAUGAAGGAAGAGACAUUUGUAAUGGAAAACGAUGCAAGAUCUACAAUGUUCAAAGGAACAUUGGCGGCUGAAACAGGAACUACAGGCACACAGGAACUACAGGAACUACAGGAACUUAAAGACGAAGGACAGGAAUAGUUCGAUGCUUCAGCAAAUAAGAUGUCUAUCAUAUAUUAUUGUGGAAAAAAACACGUCGGUGUUUGAUUUUGAACAGACAGAUAGAAGGAAACAUUUCCGAACCCAUGAGGUACACAGUAGUAGCCGGGCUCCCUCCGGCGGCUGUACCUGUUUGGGUGGUGCCGGAUCGGUACUGCAUCCACGAUCGCAUGCAUCGUGCUUCGCAGGUGCAGACAUUACCGACAUCGUCUUCCCUCCUGCACCUCCUGCUUUACCUUGAAGGCUUUGACCGGCUUAUUGGCCGAGACCCUUUAUGGCAACAACCGCGAUAUCCUCCUCUUACCCCGCCAGAUCGCACCUUCCGGAGGACAUGAAUAGCUCUUGUUUACGAAGGGCCUAAGCCUGACGACAGUCCACUCCAUGCGAGCGGCUGACAUCGGAUUUGCAUAAAAUUACAAUACUGGUUUUUUCUGUAGGCCAUAUCUCUGGUAUCCGGCAGCCGAUCUGGGCGCGGCAUGUCUCUCCGUGCUCGGGAGAGUCCUACCAAUCGACUGUCACCCUAAAAAGGGACAUCAAUUUUCUCACUAUUUUCGUAAAAAAUCAUGAUGGUUACA
rnacentral:sRNA from 1 species